rnacentral:rRNA from 1 species
CGGAGGGUGCAAGCGUUAUCCGGAUUCACUGGGUUUAAAGGGUGCGUAGGUGGGUCUGUAAGUCAGUGGUGAAAUCUCCGGGCUUAACUCGGAAACUGCCGUUGAUACUAUAGAUCUUGAAUAUCGCGUAGGUAAGCGGAAUAUGUCACGUAGCGGUGAAAUGCUUAGAUAUGACAUAGAACACCAAUUGCGAAGGCAGCUUACUUCACGAUCAUUGACACUGAGGCACGAAAGCGUGGGGAGCAAACAGGAUUAGAUACCCUGGUAGUCCACGCCCUAAACGAUGGAUACUCGACAUUAGCGAUACACAGUUAGUGUCUGAGCGAAAGCAUUAAGUAUCCCACCUGGGAAGUACGACCGCAAGGUUG